GUCAGGAUGGCCGAGUGGUCUAAGGCGCUGCGUUAAGGUCGCAGUCUCCCCUUGAGGCGUGGGUUCAAAUCCCACUUCUGACA
rfam:Gasterosteus aculeatus cont1.016686, whole genome shotgun sequence.